CUUCAGUACGGUAAAGGGGGAUGGAAUUCCGCGUGUAACAAUGAAAUGCGUAAAUGUGCGGAGGAACACCGAUGGCGAAGGCAAUCCCCUGGACCUGUACUGACGCUCAUGCACAAAAGCGUGGGGAGCAAACACGAUUAAAUACCCUGGUAGUCCACGCCCUAAACGAUGUCAACUGGUUGUUGGGUCUUCACUGACUCACUAACCAAGCUAACGCGUGAAGUUGACCGCCUGGGGAGU
rnacentral:rRNA from 1 species